CCUCGUAGAAGGCCAGCCGGAUGUCAGCUGACCCCUGGGUGACCUCUCUGAAGGCCAGGGCCGAAACGUUACUCCACAGCUGGAAAGCGGAUUGCUCCAGAGGAUCCUGAGCCGUCCUUCCAUGGACUCUCCCCCAGCGUCUUUGCACAGGGAGCAGGUGGCAGCUGUCAGACGACAUGCGUUACAAUACUACCCACCACUGCGACCUGUAUGCUCUCGUUGGCUGGCCCUCGCUUCAUACUCGUCGCCAAACCCACUGGCUCCAGGUCAUCUACAAGACCCUGCUAGGACCUCCAACAGCCGAAGCUAAGUAGUAACAUUAACAUGAUGCCUUCUAAUUGCAGCUGCUGUACUCUCCUUACGGCGAGGAUAGCUGUGCUGCAAGCCCAGCUUCAGACGCAAUCGUUAGGCAAGGGUAAUUUCAGUGUAAGGAAAGGAUGAAACAGCGUCUGUGUCACCAGUAAGUACAGAUAGUAGUAUAAAUCCCCUGGCACAGUCGCCGCAGCCGGACAACUUUCUCACGGUUUCUGGAAGGAAAUGCUGUAGGAACGCUCAACCGGUGUCGCUCAUUCAGCCGACAAACUUUCAACCGGUUUUCCCCAUUAAGCAGCGGGUCGGAGUCAGAGGCCGAGUCUUCUCUGGUCUCUACUCCUCCCGUUACGGGGUCUGAGACGCCGAAGCUUCCCACCAUUAGCUCUGACUUAUUGAAAACUCUAGUCAUUGGCGACUCCAUUACUCGCAGUAUUAGACUUAAAGCGAAUCAUCCAGCGAUCAUACACUGUUUACCCGGGGGCAGGGCUACCGACGUUAAGGCUAAUCUGAAGAUGGUGCUGGCUAAAACUGGCGAGUGUAGAGAGUAUAGAGAUAUUGUUAUCCACGUCGGCACCAACGAUGUUAGGAUGAAACAGUCAGAUCACCAAGCGCAACAUAGCUUCUGCGUGCAUAUCAGCUAGAAAGAUGUGUCUGCAUCGAGUAAUUGUCUCUGGCCCCCUCCCAGUUAGGGGGAGUGAUGAGCUCUACAGCAGAGUCUCACAACUCAAUCGCUGGUUGAAAACUGUUUUCUGCCCCUCCCAAAAGAUAGAAUUUGUAGAUAAGUGGCCCUCUUUCUGGGACUCACCCACAAACAGGACCAAGCCUGACCUGCUGAGGAGUGACGGACUCCAUCCUAGCUGGAGGGGUGCUCUCAUCUUAUCUACCAACAUAGACAGGGCUCUAACUCCUCUAGCUCCACAAUGAAAUAGGGUGCAGGCCAGGCAGCAGGCUGCCAGCAUAGUGGAGUCUGCCACUAGCACAGUCAGUGUAGUCAGCUCAGCUAUCACCAUUGAGACCGUGUCUGUGCCUCGACCUAGGUUGGGCAAAACGAAACAUGGCGGUGUUCGCCUUAGCAAUCUCACUAGGAUAAAGACCACCUCCAUUCCUGUCAUUCCCUUCAAGACUCCCUCUGCCUACCCAAGGACGCCAGAGGACAAAAAUCAGUUAACCACCUAACUGAGGAUCUCAAUUUAACCUUGCGCAAUACCCUAGAUGCAGUUGCACCCCUAAAAACUAAAAAAAUGUCUCAUAAGAAACUAGCUCCCUGGUACACAGAAAAUACCCGAGCUCUGAAGCAAGCUUCCAGAAAAUUGGAACGGAAAUGGCGCCACACCAAACUGGAAGUCUUCCGACUAGCUUGGAAGGACGGUACCGCGCAGUACCGAAGAGCCCUUACUGCUGCUCGAUCAUCCUAUUUUUCUAACUUAAUUGAGGAAAAUAAGAACAAUCCGAAAUUCCUUUUUGAUACUGUCGCAAAGCUAACUAAAAAGCAGCAUUCCCCAAGAGAGGAUGACUUUCACUUUAGCAGUGAUAAAUUCAUGAACUUCUUUGAGGAAAAGAUUAUGAUUAUUAGAAAGCAAAUUAUGGACUCCUCUUUAAACCUGCGUAUUCCUCCAAACCUCAGUUGUCCUGAGUCUGCACAACUCUGCCAGGACCUAGGAUCAAGAGAGACGCUCAAGUGUUUUAGUACUAUAUCUCUUGACACAAUGAUGAAAAUAAUCAUGGCCUCUAAACCUUCAAGCUGCAUACUGGACCCUAUUCCAACUAAACUACUGAAAGAGCUGCUUCCUGUGCUUGGCCCUCCUAUGUUGAACAUAAUAAACGGCUCUCUAUCCACUGGAUGUGUACCAAACUCACUAAAAGUGGCAGUAAUAAAGCCUCUCUUGAAAAAGCCAAACCUUGACCCAGAAAAUAUAAAAAACUAUCGGCCUAUAUCGAAUCUUCCAUUCCUCUCAAAAUUUUUAGAGAAGGCUGUUGCGCAGCAACUCACUGCUUUCCUGAAGACAAACAAUGUAUACAAAAUGCUUCAGUCUGGUUUUAGACCCCAUCAUAGCACUGAGACGGCACUUGUGAAGGUGGUAAAUGACAUUUUAAUGGCAUCGGACCGAGGCUCUGCAUCUGUCCUCGUGCUCCUAGACCUUAGUGCUGCUUUUGAUACCAUCGAUCACCACAUUCUUUUGGAGAGAUUGGAAACCCAAAUUGGUCUACACGGACAUGUUCUGGCCUGGUUUAGAUCUUAUCUGUCGGAAAGAUAUCAGUUUGUCUCUGUGAAUGGUUUGUCCUCUGACAAAUCAACUGUAAAUUUCGGUGUUCCUCAAGGUUCCGUUUUAGGACCACUAUUGUUUUCACUAUAUAUUUUACCUCUUGGGGAUGUUAUUCAAAAACAUAAUGUAAACUUUCACUGCUAUGCGGAUGACACACAGCUGUACAUUUCAAUGAAACAUGGUGAAGCCCCAAAAUUGCCCUCGCUAGAAGCAUGUGUUUCAGACAUAAGGAAGUGGAUGGCUGCAAACUUUCUACUAUUAAACUCGGACAAAACAGAGAUGCUUGUUCUAGGUCCCAAGAAACAAAGAGAUCUUCUGUUGAAUCUGACAAUUAAUCUUAAUGGUUGUACAGUCGUCUCAAAUAAAACUGUGAAGGACCUCUGCGUUACUCUGGACCCUGAUCUCUCUUUUGAAGAACAUAUCAAGACCAUUUUGAGGACAGCUUUUUUCCAUCUACGUAACAUUGCAAAAAUCAAACUUUCUGUCCAAAAAUGAUGCAGAAAAAUGAAUCCAUGCUUUUGUCACUUCUAGGUUAGACUACUGCAAUGCUCUAUUUUCCGGCUACCCGGAUAAAGCACUAAAUAAACUUCAGUUAGUGCUAAAUACGGCUGCUAGAAUCCUGACUAGAACCAAAAAAUGUGAUCAUAUUACUCCAGUGCUAGCGUCUCUUCACUGGCUUCCUGUCAAAGCAAGGGCUGAUUUCAAGGUUUUACUGCUAACCUACAAAGCAUUACAUGGGCUUGCUCCUACCUAUCUCUCUGAUUUGGUCCUGCCGUACAUACCUACACGUACGCUACGGUCACAAGACGCAGGCCUCCUAAUUGUCCCUAGAAUUUCUAAGCAAACAGCUGGAGGCAGGGCUUUCUCCUAUAGAGCUCCAUUUUUAUGGAACGGUCUGCCUACCCAUGUCAGAGACGCAAACUCGGUCGCAACCUUUAAGUCUUUACUGAAGACUCAUCUCUUCAGUGGGUCAUAUGAUUGAGUGUAGUCUGGCCCAGGAGUGGGAAGGUGAACGGAAAGGCUCUGGAGCAACGAACCGCCCUUGCUGUCUCUGCCUGGCCGGUUCCCCUCUUUCCACUGGGAUUCUCUGCCUCUAACCCUAUUACAGGGGCUGAGUCACUGGCUUACUGGGGCUCUCUCAUGCCGUCCCUGGAGGGGGUGCGUCACCUGAGUGGGUUGAUUCACUGUUGUGGUCAUCCUGUCUGGGUUGGCGCCCCCCCCUUGGGUUGUGCCGUGGCGGAGAUCUUUGUGGGCUAUACUCAGCCUUGUCUCAGGAUGGUAAGUUGGUGGUUGAAGAUAUCCCUCUAGUGGUGUGGGGGCUGUGCUUUGGCAAAGUGGGUGGGGUUAUAUCCUUCCUGUUUGGCCCUGUCCGGGGGUGUCCUCGGAUGGGGCCACAGUGUCUCCUGACCCCUCCUGUCUCAGCCUCCAGUAUUUAUGCUGCAGUAGUUUAUGUGUCGGGGGGCUGGGGUCAGUUUGUUAUAUCUGGAGUACUUCUCCUGUCCUAUUCGGUGUCCUGUGUGAAUCUAAGUGUGCGUUCUCUAAUUCUCUCCUCUCUUUCUUUCUCUCUCUCGGAGGACCUGAGCCCUAGGACCAUGCCCCAGGACUACCUGACAUGAUGACUCCUUGCUGUCCCCAGUCCACCUGGCCAUGCUGCUGUUCCAGUUUCAACUGACCUGAGCCCUAGGACCAUGCCCCAGGACUACCUGACAUGAUGACUCCUUGCUGUCCCCAGUCCACCUGGCCAUGCUGCUGCUCCAGUUUCAACUUCCACCUGACUGUGCUGCUGCUCCAGUUUCACCUCACUUCCACCUCACUGUUCUGCCUUAUUAUUAUUCGACCAUGCUGGUCUUUUAUGAACAUUUGAACAUCUUGUCCAUGUUCUGUUAUAAUCUCCACCCGGCACAGCCAGAAGAGGACUGGCCACCCCACAUAGCCUGGUUCCUCUCUAGGUUUCUUCCUAGGUUUUGGCCUUUCUAGGGAGUUUUUCCUAGCCACCGUGCUUCUACACCUGCAUUGCUUGCUGUUUGGGGUUUUAGGCUGGGUUUCUGUACAGCACUUUGAGAUAUCAGCUGAUGUACGAAGGGCAAUAUAAAUAAAUUUGAUUUGAUUUGCUAAAUAUAUUCACGUCACCAAAUAAUUGAAUAAAACACUGUUUUGCCAUGAAGGUCAACAGUAGCCUUAACAACACUCUGUAGGGUAGCACCAUGGCAUUGCUGGAGGACAGCUAGCUUCUGUCCUCCUCUGGGUACAUUGACUUCAAUACAAAACCUAGGAGGCUCAUGGUUCUCACCGCCUUCCAUAGAUUUACACAGAAAUGAUGACCAAUUUCAGAGGACGUCCUCCAACCUAUCAGAGCUCUUGCAGCAUGAACUGACAUGUUGUCCACCCAGUCAAAGGAUCAGAGAAUUAAUCCAGCUUCCGAGUGGCGCAGCGGUCUAAGGCUCUGCAUCUUAGUGUUAGAGGUGCCACUACAGUCCCUGGUUAGAUUCCAGACUGUAUCACGUCCGGCCAUGAUUGGGAGUCCAAUAGGGCGGCGCACAAUUGGCCCACGCUGUUAGGGUUUGGUCAGGGUAGGCUGUCAUUGUAAAUAAGAAUUUGUUCUUAACUGACUGUCCUUGUUAAAUAAAAAAAUUAAAAACAUUAAAAGCAUAAGCUACAUCUAGCUAGCACUCUAGUGCAUAAAAUGUGGUGAGUAGUUUACUCAAAGAGAGAGAAAGACAAUGGAACAGUUUUGAACAAAUUAAUUUCUUCCAAAAUUAAGGAGAAGCGAGAGAGAGAGAAUGAAAGAGAGAGCUAGCUAUAUUUUGUAGUAUAUACUUUUUAAACUUUCACUUACUUAGCUAGCAUCGAAUGCAGCUACAGUAGCUAGUUUACCCUACUCAAACACCUGGUUCAAACAGAGAGAGAUGCUAUGUUAGCUAGCUGGCUAUGGCUAUCCAACACUGGAACUAUUCCAAGUCAAGGUAAGCUUUAGGUUUUAUAAAUGUAUUGCCACCAGGGCCUGCUGGUGUAACUGCUAAACUGCUUGCUGUUGACUGUACACUGUACUGCAUGAUUGUAGCGGGUUUACUAAUGCAUUAGUUCUAGUAGCUAUGUUGACUAUGAUGUGACAAUGAUGUACAGUAGGCUGUGUGUGGUUAGCGAUAUGAAGGUUUGGCUUAAAGGUUUUUUCCACCUGUUCACAGACAGCUGAUGUGUUGUGCACUGAAGUCCACAAGGGAAAAGGAGAGCGCGUAGAUAGAUACCAGAAGGAAUAAUAUAUACAAGGAGCCGUUGUAUGUGGCUGGUAUGAAAGUGAACUGUGUUUGUAUGCGUGUAUUCAUUGUGCCAAUUCUGUUGAAAAACAUUUCUUAAACGGAAGAAAACGGAACGAAAUGGGGAUAAACAUAUGUACAUUUCUUUGCAACUGUUGGACUAAUGAUUACAUCAUCUAGAUGCUGUCAAGAUGUGUGCAAGGCGUUAUUAAAUGGGUCACUGUCUGUCACCUUGA